AUUGAACGCUGGCGGCAGGCCUAACACAUGCAAGUCGAGCGGCGGCGGGAAAGUAGCUUGCUACUUUUGCCGGCGAGCGGCGGACGGGUGAGUAAUGCCUGGGAAAUUGCCCAGUCGAGGGGGAUAACAGUUGGAAACGACUGCUAAUACCGCAUACGCCCUACGGGGGAAAGCAGGGGACCUUCGGGCCUUGCACGAUUGGAUAUGCCCAGGUGGGAUUAGCUAGUUGGUGAGGUAAUGGCUCACCAAGGCGACGAUCCCUAGCUGGUCUGAGAGGAUGAUCAGCCACACUGGAACUGAGACACGGUCCAGACUCCUACGGGAGGCAGCAGUGGGGAAUAUUGCACAAUGGGGGAAACCCUGAUGCAGCCAUGCCGCGUGUGUGAAGAAGGCCUUCGGGUUGUAAAGCACUUUCAGCGAGGAGGAAAGGUUGAUGCCUAAUACGUAUCAACUGUGACGUUACUCGCAGAAGAAGCACCGGCUAACUCCGUGCCAGCCGCCGCGGUAA
rnacentral:rRNA from 1 species